GACGAACGUUGGCGGCGUGCUUAAUACAUGCAAGUCAACUGAAGCAGUGGUAGCAAUAUCGCUGUGGAGGUGGCGCACGGGUGAGUAACACGUAGGUAAUCUGCCUUCAGGUCUGGCAUAACUCCGGGAAACCGGGGCUAAUAGCAGAUGAUGCAGCGGCUCGACAUCGAGACAGUUGUUAAAGCUAUGGCGCCUGAAGAUGAGCCUGCGUCUGAUUAGCUAGUUGGCGGGGUAACGGCCCACCAAGGCAACGAUCAGUAGCUGGUCUGAGAGGAUGAUCAGCCACACUGGAACGGAGACACGGUCCAGACUCCGACGGGAGGCAGCAGUAAGGAAUAUUGCUCAAUGGGAGAAAUCCUGAAGCAGCAACGCCGCGUGAGGGACGAAGGGCUUUUGCUUGUAAACCUCUGUAGUGAGAGAAAAAAAUCCCAAUCUUUGGGACAUGAUGGUAUCUCAAAAGUAAGCCCCGGCUAACUACGUG
rnacentral:rRNA from 1 species